AAUGAACGUUGGCGGCGUGGAUUAGGCAUGCAAGUCGCGCGAGAAAUUUCCUUCGGGAAAUGGACAGCGGCGGAAGGGAGAGGAAUAAGUAGAAAUCUGCCCUCGGGACGGGGAUAGCGGUGGGAAACUGCCGGUAAUACCCGAUAACAUCUUUGGAUCAAAUGGUGUGAUUCCGCCUGAGGAUGAGUCUACUUCCUAUUAGCUAGUUGGUGGGGUAAUGGCCUACCAAGGCAACGAUGGGUAGCGGGUGUGAGAGCACGACCCGCCUCACUGGGACUGAGACACUGCCCAGACACCUACGGGUGGCUGCAGUCGAGAAUCUUCGGCAAUGGGGGAAACCCUGACCGAGCGACGCCGCGUGCGGGAUGAAGGCCCUUGGGUUGUAAACCGCUGUCGUAAGGGAACAAAUCCAUAGGGGUACUCCCCUAUGGUUGAGUGAUCUUAGGAGGAAGGACGGGCUAAGUUCGUGCCAGCAGCCGCGGU
rnacentral:rRNA from 1 species